AAGACCCACAGGAUGGCAAGACUGGCCUUAUCAACCCUGUGCAAACCAGAGGACCUUUGCUAUCACUGGACCAACUGGCAGACGAAAAAACUCAGUAUAUCUCCCCUCUGCUCCCGCCUGGCUCCUCCAUCUACUUUCAGCAGGAUGGAUCUGAUCUCCUGUCAACUCUGCAGCCUUACAGCAUCUGGAACUCUCUGGUAGAGUCCACUGCAUCUUGUCAGCUGACCGGCUUGAAUAAUCUUCGUUCUCUGGGCACGACCUCAACUGUCAAACCAGCAAUCUGAUGGCAGUGGAAUCUGCAGUUUUGGAAUCUGCUGGACCUGCAGCUGUCAUACUCCUAGGCCUGGGUGCAGGCCGAUUUUCCUUUUUUUCCUCUCUGCAGGGCUGGAAUGGCAGGUUUUCUUCAUCAAGCUGAUUCCCACCUUUCUUAAGGAGCUGGAACCAGGAGGAGGGCGUCAGUUCGUUAAUGCUCCAGCGUGAACCCGGGAUCCCAAGCCUGAAACCACUCCAGAGACUUCUUUGCUCUCUGGACACCUGUCAGAGACUUAUCAGACAGCCUCAAGGAACCAGAGAGGCUACGGACCUCUAAACUAUUAAAGUCCUCCUGCCUGAGCUCGCCUGCCUGUCCACCUUCAGACACUACCAUCAGAUCUCACUCACCGGACCUGCACCAUUCGCCUGGACCACUGGUCACCAUCCUCCCAAGACAGACACCAAGCCGCGCUCUCUGUGAGUCACAUACAUCCCUCCCUUUUUAACCAGCAGCGAACUGUUGCUCACCUGUCUCCCAACUCUUCCAGCAGUAUCCAGAAAACCCUGCCUGCUGGAAUUUCACUCUGUACAGCCUCAAACCUUCAAUAAAACCCUUUAACUGA